GAUGAACGCUGGCGGCGCGCCUAACACAUGCAAGUCGAACGGUUAAAGCACCUUUUAGGUGUGUAUAAAGUGGCGAACGGCUGAGUAACACGUGGGCAACCUGCCCUCCUCUUGGGGAUAGCCUCGGGAAACCGAGGAUAAUACCCGAUACUUCAAUGUGGCCGCAUGACGACAUUGAGAAAGCUUUUGCGGAGAAGGAUGGGCCCGCGGCCUGUCAGCUUGUUGGUGGGGUAGAGGCCUACCAAGGCAAUGAUGGGUAGCUGGGUUGAGAGACCGACCAGCCAGAUUGGGGCUGGGACACGGCCCCGGCUCCUGCGGGGGGCCGCAGUGGGGAAUCUUGCACAAUGGGCGAAAGCCUGAUGCAGCGACGCCGCGGGCGGGGCGAAGGCCUUCGGGUUGUAAACCGCUUUCAGCAGGGACGAGGCGAUAAGUGACGGUACCUGCAGAAGAAGCCCCGGCUAACUACGUG
rnacentral:rRNA from 1 species